rnacentral:lncRNA from 1 species
GGGGCCCGGCGCCCGCGCGAGGUGGACGGUGUUCUUGGAGACGCGGCGGGCCGGGCCGAGCCUGCAGCCCCCUGGGCGGUCGCCUUCUUCUCCUCUCCCGUCUUUUAUCUUAGUGUUGACAUUUGGUUUGCAGUUACAGUACUCUUAAGAUUGAUUUCUAAAGAUAUGGUUUUCAUCCAGCUUCAUCAACGCACAUAAAUUUUCUCCUUUUUGGACUCCUGUUUUAUAUCACAAUGCAACAAACUUUAGAACUAGCUUUGGAUCGUGCAGAGUAUGUCAUUGAAAGUGCCCGGCAGAGACCUCCUAAAAGGAAAUACCUAUCUAGUGGAAGAAAAUCUAUAUUUCAAAAACUUUAUGACUUAUAUAUUGAAGAAUGUGAAAAAGAGCCUGAGGUUAAGAAAUUAAGAAGAAAUGUGAACUUAUUAGAGAAGCUUGUUAUGCAAGAGACAUUGUCAUGUUUAGUGGUCAACCUAUACCCGGGAAAUGAGGGAUAUUCUCUGAUGCUCAGGGGAAAAAAUGGAUCAGAUUCUGAGACCAUUCGACUGCCUUAUGAAGAGGGAGAAUUGCUUGAAUACUUGGAUGCAGAAGAAUUACCUCCAAUUUUGGUUGAUCUCCUAGAAAAAUCUCAGGUUAAUAUUUUUCAUUGUGGAUGCGUCAUAGCAGAAAUACGUGACUAUAGGCAGUCCAGUAACAUGAAAUCUCCUGGUUACCAAAGUAGGCACAUUCUGUUACGUCCAACAAUGCAGACUUUAAUCUGUGAUGUACAUUCAAUAACAAGUGAUAACCAUAAGUGGACCCAGGAAGACAAACUUUUGCUUGAGAGCCAAUUGAUUCUGGCUACAGCGGAGCCGCUGUGUCUUGAUCCUUCCGUAGCUGUCACCUGCACUGCAAACAGACUGCUCUAUAACAGGCAAAAGAUGAACACACGCCCAAUGAAACGAUGUUUCAAGAGAUAUUCCAGGUCCUCUCUGAAUCGGCAACAGGAUAUGUCUCAUGGUCCACCUCCUCCUCAGCUAAAAUUACUUGAUUUCUUACAAAAAAGAAAGGAAAGAAAAGCAGGUCAGCAUUAUGACCUCAAAAUUUCUAAAGCAGGAAAUUGUGUAGAUAUGUGGAAACGGAGUCCCUGUAAUUUGGCUGUACCUUCUGAGGUGGAUGUGGAAAAAUAUGCCAAAGUAGAAAAAUCUAUCAAGUCUGAUGACUCACAACCAACAGUCUGGCCAGCCCAUGAUGUAAAAGAUGACUAUAUAUUUGAAUGUGAAGCUGGUAAUCAGUAUCAGAAAACAAAGCUGACCAUUUUGCAGUCACUUGGUGAUCCACUUUACUAUGGUAAAAUCCAGCCAUGUAAAGAAGAUGAGGAGAGUGACAGUCCGAUGUCACCGUCCCACUUCUCCACAGAUGAUCAUUCAAAUUGGUUCGUUAUUGGAUCAAAGACUGAUGCUGAGAGAGUAGUCAAUCAGUACCAGGAAUUGGUCCAGAAUGAAGCCAAAUGUCCAGUGAAGAUGUCACAUAGCUCCAGUGGCUCAGCCAGCUUGAGUCAGCUUUCUCCAGGGAAAGAAACAGAACAGCCUGAGACCGUGUCAGUUCAGUCUUCAGUACUGGGGAAGGGAGUGAAACAUCGACCUCCACCCAUCAAACUUCCCUCAACCUCAGGAAAUAGUUCCUCAGGUAACUAUUUUACACCACAACAGGCCAGCAGCUUUCUUAAAUCUCCAACUCCUCCUCCUGCUUCUAAGCCACCAAGUCUUUCUCGGAAGUCAUCCGUGGAUCUUAAUCAAGUUAGCAUGCUUUCUCCAGCUGCCCUGUCACCUGCCAGUUCAUCACAAAGAUCUGGAACUCCUAAGCCAUCUACUCCUACACCAACCCCUUCAUCGACCCCACACCCUCCUGAUGCUCAGAGCUCAACUCCUAUUACCCCUUCAGCUACCCCUACUCCCCAAGAUUCAGGCUUCACCCCUCAGCCCACUUUGUUAACUCAGUUUGCUCAGCAGCAAAAGUCUCUGAGCCAGGCAAUGCCUGUAACGACCAUUCCUCUUUCCACCAUGGUAACAUCUAUAACUACAGGAACCACAGCCACCCAGGUCAUGGCAAACUCUGCUGGACUUAACUUCAUCAAUGUAGUGGGCUCUGUUUGUGGAGCUCAAGCUUUGAUGAGUGGUUCAAACCCUAUGCUGGGCUGUAACACUGGUGCCAUAACUCCUGCAGGAAUAAACCUGAGUGGCCUUCUACCCUCAGGGGGUCUGCUACCAAAUGCAUUGCCGGGUGCAAUGCAGACAGCCUCUCAAGCAGGUGUUCCAUUUGGUUUAAAAAAUACUUCAAGUCUCAGGCCCUUAAAUCUACUCCAGCUUCCAGGCGGCUCGCUCAUUUUUAACACUCUGCAGCAACAGCAGCAGCAGCAGCUCUCCCAGUUUACACCACAGCAGCCUCAGCCCCAGCAACCCACAACUUCUAGUCCUCAACAGCCUGGGGAGCAGGGUUCUGAACAAAGUUUGACCAGUCAAGAACAAGCCUUAUCUGCUCAGCAUGCUGCAGUUAUUAACCUUGCCGGAGUAGGAAGCUUUAUGCAUUCACAGGCAGCUGCAGUUACGAUUCUUGCAGCAUCAAAUGGCUAUGGCAGCAGCAGCAGCACAAACAGCUCAGCUACAUCGUCAUCGGCACACAGGCAGCCAGUCAAAAAGUAAAGUGAAGAGAGGCACACCAGCCACUCCAAAAUUCUGAGUCUUGAAUAGUUUUUCUCUCUUUUUAAAAAGUUACGAGCAUUGAAU